rnacentral:rRNA from 2 species
AACGAGACCUUAACCUGCUAAAUAGCCAGGUUGACUUUUGUCGGCCGCCGGCUUCUUAGAGGGACUUUUGGCUCAAGCCAAUGGAAGUACGAGGCAAUAACAGGUUAACAUUCGAGUUACAACUCAUCACAGGCCUGUUAAAGCAGGGCUUCGUACUUC